UACGGAGGGUGCAAGCGUUAUCCGGAUUCACUGGGUUUAAAGGGUGCGUAGGCGGGUUGGGAAGUCAGUGGUGAAAUCUCCGGGCUUAACUCGGAAACUGCCGUUGAUACUAUCAAUCUUGAAUGUUGUGGAGGUAAGCGGAAUAUGUCAUGUAGCGGUGAAAUGCUUAGAUAUGACAUAGAACACCGAUAGCGAAGGCAGCUUGCUACACAAUAAUUGACACUGAGGCACGAAAGCGUGGGGAUCAAACAGG
rnacentral:rRNA from 1 species